rnacentral:rRNA from 1 species
UACGUAGGGUGCGAGCGUUGUCCGGAAUUAUUGGGCGUAAAGGGCUCGUAGGCGGUUUGUCGCGUCGGGAGUGAAAUCCACUGGCUUAACUGGUGGCUUGCUUUCGAUACGGGCAGACUGGAGGUAUGCAGGGGAGAACGGAAUUCCUGGUGUAGCGGUGAAAUGCGCAGAUAUCAGGAGGAACACCGGUGGCGAAGGCGGUUCUCUGGGCAUGCCCUGACGUGAGGAGCGAAAGUGUGGGGAGCGAACAGG